rnacentral:rRNA from 1 species
UACGGAGGAUCCAAGCGUUAUCCGGAUUUAUUGGGUUUAAAGGGUGCGUAGGCGGCCUGUUAAGUCAGAGGUGAAAACUUGCAGCUCAACUGUAAGCGUGCCUUUGAUACUGAUGGGCUUGAAUGAACUAGAGGUAGGCGGAAUGUGACAAGUAGCGGUGAAAUGCAUAGAUAUGUCCCAGAACACCAAUUGCGAAGGCAGCUUACUAUGGUUUAAUUGACGCUGAGGCACGAAAGCGUGGGGAUCAAACAGG